CCUGUUCGAGCGUCAUUAACACACUCAAGCUCUGCUUGGUAUUGGGAAUCACUUGUUAUAGUGUCCCCUAAAAUCAGUGGCGGUGCCAUUCAACUUUCAAGCGUAGUAAAUUUCUCGCUUUGGAUGUCUAGUGACGCCUGCCAAAACAGCCUCAUUUUAAGGUUGACCUCGGAUCAGGUAGGGAUACCCGCUGAACUUAA
rnacentral:misc_RNA from 1 species